ACAUUAGGGUUGUCAAGUUUCUAGCUUUGGAUAGAUUAAUUGAGCAACUCACCUCACCUCGACAAUUUGUUAGGGUAUCAACACUUGCUACGAGCUAAAUGCCAACUUUAUUGAGCACAAGCUUAGUCGAAACAGUUUUGUUAAUAAAACGUUGUUCUUUUGUUCAUACGAAGAAGAGUCGCUGUUUAUUUACACGUAAUGUCUACUUCCCAUG
rnacentral:lncRNA from 1 species